CCUAAUUUAAACUGGAAGGUAGGAGGAGUCUGCUGGUAGUCUUAAAGAGACAGUUCCUAAUUUAAACUGGAAGGUAGGAGGAGUCUGCUGGUAGUCUUAAAGAGACAGUUCCUAAUUUAAACUGGAAGGUAGGAGGAGUCUGCUGGUAGUCUUAAAGAGACAGUUCCUAAUUUAAACUGGAAGGUAGGAGUCUGCUGGUAGUCUUAAAGAGACAGUUCCUAAUUUAAACUGGAAGGUAGGAGGAGUCUGCUGGUAGUCUUAAAGAGACAGUUCCUAAUUUAAACUGGAAGGUAGGAGGAGUCUGCUGGUAGUCUUAAAGAGACAGUUCCUAAUUUAAACUGGAAGGUAGGAGGAGUCUGCUGGUAGUCUUAAAGAGACAGUUCCUAAUUUAAACUGGAAGGUAGGAGGAGUCUGCUGGUAGUCUUAAAGAGACAGUUCCUAAUUUAAACUGGAAGGUAGGAGGAGUCUGCUGGUAGUCUUAAAGAGACAGUUCCUAAUUUAAACUGGAAGGUAGGAGGAGUCUGCUGGUAGUCUUAAAGAGACAGUUCCUAAUUUAAACUGGAAGGUAGGAGGAGUCUGCUGGUAGUCUUAAAGAGACAGUUCCUAAUUUAAACUGGAAGGUAGGAGGAGUCUGCUGGUAGUCUUAAAGAGACAGUUCCUAAUUUAAACUGGAAGGUAGGAGGAGUCUGCUGGUAGUCUUAAAGAGACAGUUCCUAAUUUAAACUGGAAGGUAGGAGGAGUCUGCUGGUAGUCUUAAAGAGACAGUUCCUAAUUUAAACUGGAAGGUAGGAGGAGUCUGCUGGUAGUCUUAAAGAGACAGAUCCUAAUUUAAACUGGAAGGUAGGAGGAGUCUGCUGGUAGUCUUAAAGAGACAGUUCCUAAUUUAAACUGGAAGGUAGGAGGAGUCUGCUGGUAGUCUUAAAGAGACAGUUCCUAAUUUAAACUGGAAGGUAGGAGGAGUCUGCUGGUAGUCUUAAAGAGACAGUUCCUAAUUUAAACUGGAAGGUAGGAGGAGUCUGCUGGUAGUCUUAAAGAGACAGUUCCUAAUUUAAACUGGAAGGUAGGAGGAGUCUGCUGGUAGUCUUAAAGAGACAGUUCCUAAUUUAAACUGGAAGGUAGGAGGAGUCUGCUGGUAGUCUUAAAGAGACAGUUCCUAAUUUAAACUGGAAGGUAGGAGGAGUCUGCUGGUAGUCUUAAAGAGACAGUUCCUAAUUUAAACUGGAAGGUAGGAGGAGUCUGCUGGUAGUCUUAAAGAGACAGUUCCUAAUUUAAACUGGAAGGUAGGAGUCUGCUGGUAGUCUUAAAGAGACAGAUCCUAAUUUAAACUGGAAGGUAGGAGGAGUCUGCUGGUAGUCUUAAAGAGACAGUUCCUAAUUUUAACUGGAAGUUAGGAGUCUGCUGGUAUUAAGGUAGGAGGAGUCUGCUGGUAGUAAGGUAGGAGGAGUCUGCUGGUAGUCUUAAAGAGACAGUUCCUCAUUUUAACUGGAAGGUAGGAGUCUGCUGGUAUUAAGGUAGGAGGAGUCUGCUGGUAGUAAGGUAGGAGGAGUCUGCUGGUAGUCUUAAAGAGACAGUUCCUCAUUUUAACUGGAAGGUAGGAGUCUGGUAGUCUUAUGUCCUUAGCUGGUAGGCUUAAAGGUUAGGUGAUUGAUUGAUA